UACGUAGGGGGCAAGCGCUGUCCGGAAUCAUUGGGCGUAAAGCGCGCGUAGGCGGCCCGGUAAGUCCGCUGUAAAAGUCCAGGGCUCAACCCUGGAAAGCCGGUGGAUACUGUCGGGCUAGAGUCCGGAAGAGGCGAGUGGAACUCCUGGUGUAGCGGUGGAAUGCGCAGAUAUCAGGAAGAACACCAACGGCGAAGGCAGCUCGCUGGGACGGUACUGACGCUGAGACGCGAAAGCGUGGGGAGCGAACAGG
rnacentral:rRNA from 1 species